rnacentral:rRNA from 1 species
CCUACGGGAGGCAGUAGUGAGGAAUAUUGGUCAAUGGACGAGAGUCUGAACCAGCCAAGUAGCGUGAAGGAUGACUGCCCUAUGGGUUGUAAACUUCUUUUAUAUGGGAAUAAAAUGUUCCACGUGUGGGAUUUUGUAUGUACCAUAUGAAUAAGGAUCGGCUAACUCCGUGCCAGCAGCCGCGGUAAUACGGAGGAUCCGAGCGUUAUCCGGAUUUAGUGGGUUUAAAGGGAGCGUAGGUGGAUUGUUAAGUCAGUUGUGAAAGUUUGCGGCUCAACCGUAAAAUUGCCGUUGAAACUGGCAGUCUUGAGUACAGUAGAGGUGGGCGGAAUUCGUGGUGUAGCGGUGAAAUGCUUAGAUAUCACGAAGAACUCCGAUUGCGAAGGCAGCUCACUGGACUGCAACUGACACUGAGGCUCGAAAGUGUGGGUAUCAAACAGGAUUAGAUACCCCGGUAGUC